UCCAUGGCAAAAACUGGCUUAAAAUUAAAUUUAACCAGGUUAAAAAUGAACAAAAUUGAUUAAUUUAUGUUCAUAGUUCACCACUUCAGUCAGAAUUGGGAUACGUAUCGUAUGCAAUGUUGGGGAAUUUGCUGCAGUAAGCUGUGUUUUUUACAGUUUGUCUUUGAUUAAAAUGGUCAAAGGAAUUGUCAGCGUUUCAUUAUGAACUUAAUUUGCCCCGGAAGUCGUAACACAGACCCAGAAAUGAAACGGCCAGCGUCUCCUAGCAACGCCGACCUACAGCCAAUGGCAGUCAAGAGUGUUGCUAAUGCCCAUUUCACGUCACAGCGCAGCUUCCACGUGCGUGACAAUCUCACAAACACAAGCUACAGUAGUAAACACAUGCUAGUGGACUAGCAUACCGGCAGAAAGUUUUUGCGUCAGGGCUCGAAAAAGAAUGGUUCUCCACUGUCAGUGGGGCAUCUGUACAGGCGAUGUCAGGUAUCCCGAUCGUAUUUGUGGAGGUAAAAUUCACAGAUUUCCAAAAUCUGAAACGGAAUGCAUUGCUUGGAUCAAAGCUUGUGCAUGACCGCAUUUGCAGCUCAACUGUCGUAGGAUCAAUAAGAACAAUGGAGUGUGUGCUGGUCAUUUUGUCGGCGGGGAUGGGCCAACAGCGUCCCAUCCUUAUCCGAUACUUGCAGACGGAGCCCGAGUGCAUAAAGCAAGGCCUGCAAGAAAAAGAGCAUCAGAAAGUGCAAGUAGGCAAGACAGUCAAGACAAGAGACCACGGAUUGGAGCAGAGAGCUUGAUGCCAUCUAGAUCACAGUGAAUGUUCUGAAAUAUUUACAGGGAUACCUACGAUGCUGCGGUGAACAAUGAUGCAGACAAAAGGACAGAGGAUGCAGACAAAGGGAUAGGGGUGCAAGCAGAUGAACAGUGUGAACUUAAUGGGGCAUUGGAGAGAAUCCAACAGUUGAAGCAGACCAUAUCAAAACUCUCCCUUACUGGACCUCUUUCUAAGAGAUGGUGUUUGUCUGAUGAAGACUUUAAGUAUUUCACCAGGUUUCCAUCUAAAGAUGUCUUCUAUGUUUUUUGGGCUUCUGUGGAACCUUCUGCAUCAAUGAUUGCAUACUGGUCUGAAGCAAACAGGAUUGCAGCUCUUCCAGAAGCGGCCAACCUUGAGUUAACACCUGAGCAUGAACUUCCACUCAUCGAUGAGUUCUUUAUGUUCUGCCUCCAUCUGUCUGCUGGGCUGAAAGACAGAGUUCUGGCAGGGAUGUUUGGGGUCAGUCGCUUGCGAGUGAUUCAGACCAUCGUCACGUGGUCCAACUACUUGUAUCUUGUGCUGGGGUCGGUACGAAUCUGGAUGACACGAGCGCAGGUCCGAAAGACGAUGGCCCCAAUAAUCCGUCAGUACUGCCUCUGCACAAGGGUCAUCCUUGCAUGUGCUGAGCUCAGAUGUGAAAUCGGAGAAAUGAAAACAUCUUCUGAAACUUUGUUAUGCAAGAGGAAGUGUGUCACAUAUAAAGCUUUGGUUGGAAUAGCUCCCUGUGGCUUCAUCACCUUUGUGUCAAAAUUAUUUUCUGAUUCCAUCUCAAAUGAUGAACUGACGAGGCUCUCUGGGAUUUUGAAGUUACUUGAGCCAGGUGACGAGGUCAUAGCACCCAAAAACUUUUAUAUUGACAAUCUGUUGAAAAAUGUUGGGGCAAAACUCGUCACAUUCCCUGUGAGCUCUGAGGACGGAAUCAGCUUGAACCAAUGGAGAGCCCAGAGUGUUGCCAGGCUCCAUGCUCUCGUUGAGUGUGUAAUUAAAAGGAUAAAGGGGAACAAGCUUUUGGACUUGACGAUUCCUUAUACCCUAGCAGGAACAAUCAAUCAGAUCUGGUCCUGUUGUUGCUUCAUGGCUAAUUACCAGGGUCAGUAACAUAAAAACGCUCUUCUAAUCUGUUACAAAGGCCAGCAUUUUAAUUUAAAAUUAUGUUUGUUAGAAAGUAGUCUUAUUUUAUCUGAUCUCACUCUGUAAAUGUCUGUAUUAUUUUAAGUGUAAAUAAACAGUUGUCAUAAAAUA